UACCAGCACCCCGAGUGGUCGGGACGAUUAUUGGGCCUAAAGCAUCCGUAGCCGGUUUUACAAGUCCUCCGUUAAAUCCAGCUGCUUAACAGAUGGGCUGCGGAGGAUACUAUAAGACUAGGAGGCAGGAGAGGCAAGCGGUACUCAGUGGGUAGGGGUAAAAUCCGUUGAUCCAUUGAAGACCACCAGUGGCGAAGGCGGCUUGCCAGAAUGCGCUCGACGGUGAGGGGUGAAAGCUGGGGGAGCAAACCGG
rnacentral:rRNA from 1 species